UGUUUUAUGUUUACAACUAUAAAAUAUUUUCCUGCCCAAUGUAAAAUAAAUGGCUGCGGUAUCCUAACCGUACAAAGGUAGCAUAAUAAAUUGCCCAUUAAUUGUGGGAUAGAAUGAAUGGAAUAAUGAGAAAGAAACUAUAUAAUUAAUAUGAAAUAAAAUUAUCAUUUAAGUGAAGAGACUUAAAUAAAAUUACAGGACAAGAAGACCCUAUAGAGCUUAAAUUAAAAUAUCUAAUAAAUAUCUCCAUUUAGGUUGGGGCGACCAUAAAUAAAAACAUUUAAUCAUCACAGAUAGACAAAUCACUAUAAAGAUCCUAAUAUAGAUCAAAGAACAAAGUUACCUUAGGGAUAACAGGCUAAUCUUAUUUAAGAGUCCAUAUCUACAAUAAGGAUUGGCACCUCGAUGUUGGCUUAGAAAAACUUUAAUAACGCAAUAGUUAUAAAAGUGGGUUUGUUCAACCCAUAAUAUUCU
rnacentral:rRNA from 1 species